rnacentral:lncRNA from 1 species
UUAACUGGCCGCAAGCCCGCAACUCCCGCACGUAAAUCUCUCCGUAAUCUCGCUCGAUUUCAAUCGCAGCCGCAUACGCCCGAGCUCCUCCGCCUCGCACGCACAUCCGGGAGGCUGCCUCACCCAGCCAGAUGUGACCACUCCAGCGGCCAGCUCCGCCCCUACUUCUCCAAAUCACGUCGUCCGCUUCAAUCGAUGCGACACCCGGAUGAGAAAGCUGAUGCGCCAUCCUACCAUUACGAAUCAAGCCCCCUGCCCCCAUCCUCAUCCUCCGUUCUUUCUUCGCCGAGUCAAAUCAGUUGCGCCAUCAUCUGGCAGAGUAGGAACAGCCGACCGAAGAACCUGUCUGCAAUUGAUUGCAAAAUCACCUUCCUCACAACUCCCAAUUACAAGCACCCCAUAUUGAUAUCGAAGGUACUGCAGUGCAUCUACCUCCUCCGAAUUGAUUAUUCCCUUUAUAAUUUUUGUAAUGAUUUUUCCUUUGUAUUUCAACCAAUAGCCGAGUACUAUUUUCUUGGAGGUGUAGCCGAGUACUAAUUGGUUUGCAUGUUCAGUCGCUGCCUGGUAUUGUUCAGCCACGUGUCAGGUAAUUUAUUAUCAAACUAUUUGUAUGUCAAGCUUUGUAGAUAAUUCGGUAACCCAUGGCUAUGUAUGCAUCCAAUGAUGGUUAUUCCCUAGUUUUAAUGUUCAGUCCUUCGAGUGAUGGUGAGAAAUGCUGAGAACACAUUGUUUCAUUGCUUCCUGUAUAGAGAGCUUCGAAAAAUAUGUGUCCGUAGUCAUCGAAAAAACAAUUGUUCCUUUUUCCAAAAUUUCAUGCUUCCACCUGAAACUAAUAAUGCACCCUCUAUUUUACUUUGUAGCUUCAUACCUGUGUGCUUUGACCUUGGUGGCACUGUUAGUUUAUAUCUAUUUUUCUAUUGUAUAUGCUUCCUAUCAAGAUGAGUUGUUUACACCACUUUUUUCAUGCUUUCUACUUAUUUAGCUUCCACAUCAUACUAUACAUGCUUCGUCCAUCUACAUAAUUGCUUCCAUCUCUCAACCAAGUUCUGAGAAUUUUGAAUUUAGGUCAUAUAAACGUGCAUCCCUAUUUUAGCCGCAGUCCUUGUUGGUUUUCAUUUCCAAUUGUCCAUGCUUCCAAUUUAAAUGAGCCAUAUUGUGAUAGCACAUCUGUAUGCUUCCUACUAGUUGAGGUUUAAAACCAUACUUCAUACUCUUUUUAUUUCUCAUGCAUAAUCCUAUGUUUCUUGCCGGUCAUGCUUCUUCACAAAUGCUGCUAUAAUAUGAUUUUGAACAUUCUUACAUACUUAGAGAUGUUUGUAUUAGCUGAUUGAUUGGCACUUUUAAAUUUCAGUUCAUGGCUUUCUCAUCAUGAAAUAGCUUGAUACAGCUUGGUUCUGCAGAAGUUGCCAUUCAGUGUUUCUGAAGGGCCAAGCCACGACGGAGAGCCCUUGUUCUGAGACGUGGUUUGUGGAAGCUGAAAAUAUUUAUGCAAAGUCGCAGUGUUGUAUGAUUUUUGAAGCAAACAAUACUAAUGCAGGAAACUAAGAAUAUUUUAGAUCAAACUGACCAUUGUGUACAAUGUGACAUUUCAAAUUCUGAUUGAUAAAUGAUUUGUAUUAACGUAAGAAAUUUAAAUUAUGAGCUCUUGCAGCAUGAUCAUAGUGGUAGUAACCAAAGGAGGAGGGAAGCACGUUUGUAGCAUGUUUAAACGUUCCAAAUAAAAAUAGUAAGC